UGCCAAGUUACAUAAAUUAAGCACAUUUAUCAUGCCAGUGAAGACAUGUUACCUAACAAUAGAUGUGGCCAGAAAUAACCUUACUAAAAGAAGUAGCAACUGAGGUUUCAAUUGAUACAUCAUAGUUUUUCACAUCUAGAAUAUUUUAGAAAAUUUUUAAUUCUUAUGAAUCCCCAAAUACAUCAAAGCUAAUCAUAUAACAGAGAAUAUUCAACUAAACAAAGUUUAAACACAUGCAAAAAAACCUGAAGAAGAAGAAGAAUGGAAAAUAGGCAUUAUGAAAAAUGACAAUAGCACUUGCCCACUAUCUGAUCAUGAACCAUUCUAUAUUUAAUUUUCACAAUUUGAUGGAACUCCCAACACUUUUUUCUCUACAGUUUAAUUAGCUGUCAGAAACAGUAGCAUUCAAAGUAUUGAAGCACUGUUAUCCUAAAGAAAAUUUAGCAAUAAAAAAGGGUGACCCAGUGCACGA
rnacentral:misc_RNA from 1 species